UACGAAGGGGGCUAGCGUUGCUCGGAAUCACUGGGCGUAAAGCGCACGUAGGCGGGUCUUUAAGUCAGGGGUGAAAUCCUGGAGCUCAACUCCAGAACUGCCUUUGAUACUGAGGAUCUUGAGUCCGGGAGAGGUGAGUGGAACUGCGAGUGUAGAGGUGAAAUUCGUAGAUAUUCGCAAGAACACCAGUGGCGAAGGCGGCUCACUGGCCCGGUACUGACGCUGAGGCACGAAAGCGUGGGGAGCAAACAGG
rnacentral:rRNA from 1 species